GCAUAUCAAUAAGCGGAGGAAAAGAAACCAACAGGGAUUACCUCAGUAACGGCGAGUGAAGCGGUAACAGCUCAAAUUUGAAAGCUAGCUCUUUUAGGGUUCGCAUUGUAAUUUGUAGAAGAUGCUUCGGGUGUGGCCCCGGUCUAAGUUCCUUGGAACAGGACGUCAUAGAGGGUGAGAAUCCCGUAUGUGACUGGGUGCUUUCGCUCAUGUGAAGCUCUUUCGACGAGUCGAGUUGUUUGGGAAUGCAGCUCAAAAUGGGUGGUAAAUUUCAUCUAAAGCUAAAUAUUGGCCAGAGACCGAUAGCGCACAAGUAGAGUGAUCGAAAGAUGAAAAGCACUUUGGAAAGAGAGUUAAACAGUACGUGAAAUUGUUGAAAGGGAAGCGCUUGCAACCAGACUUGCGCGCUGAUGAUCAUCCGGGCUUCUGUCCGGUGCACUCGUCUGCGCUCAGGCCAGCAUCGGUUUCGGUGGUGGGAUAAAGGCCUUGGGAAUGUAGCUUCUUUCGGGGAGUGUUAUAGCCCUCGGUGCAAUGCCGCCUACCGGGACCGAGGACCGCGCUUCGGCUAGGAUGCUGGCGUAAUGGUUGUAAGCGACCCGUCUUGAAACACGGACC
rnacentral:rRNA from 14 species